UACGUAGGGCGCGAGCGUUGUCCGGAAUUAUUGGGCGUAAAGAGCUCGUAGGCGGCCUGUUGCGUCCGCUGUGAAAUCCCAGGGCUCAACCCUGGGCGUGCAGUGGAUACGGGCAGGCUGGAGGCAGGCAGGGGAGAACGGAAUUCCUGGUGUAGCGGUGAAAUGCGCAGAUAUCAGGAAGAACACCCGUGGCGAAAGCGGCUCUCUGGAACGGUACUGACGCUGAGACGCGAAAGCGUGGGGAGCGAACAGG
rnacentral:rRNA from 1 species